rnacentral:rRNA from 1 species
GACGAACGCUGGCGGCGUGCCUAAUACAUGCAAGUCGAACGCAGUGGGGGCGGUUGAGUAACACGUGGGUAACCUCGCAUCAGAGGGGGUAACACUUGGAAACAGGUGCUAAACCGAUAUUGAUUGCUGGACCCGCGGGGCAUUAGCUAGUUGGUGGGGUAACGGCUCACCAAGGCCAAGAUGCAUAGCCGACCUGAGAGGGUGAUCGGCCACACUGGGACUGAGACACGGCCCAGACUCCUACGGGAGGCAGCAGUAGGGAAUCUUCGGCAAUGGACGAAAGUCUGACCGAGCAACGCCGCGUGAGUGAAGAAGGUUUUCGGAUCGUAAAACUCUGUUGUCAGAGAAGCGGUAUCUAACCAGAAAGCCACGGCUAACUACGUGCCAGCCGCCGCGGUAAUAC